GCAACAUUUUGGAGGUGGUCAGGUGUUUUACUUGGUAACAAACCUAGAGGCACUUGACCACUGAGCACGUCCUCAGCCCUUCCUUUAUAUAAUGUAACUAUUUAUUUUUAUUUUUAUUUUGUAUAGUUUUAGAGGGGCAGAAUACCUUAAUUUUGUUAAUUUAUCUGUGGUGCUAAGGAUCAUACCCAGUGCCUCAUACAUGCUAGCAAGCGCUCUGCCACUCAGCUACAAUCCCAGUCCCCCCAUUUAUUGUUGAUGACGACCAAGUUUCACAAAAUUUCUGGAUGUCUUGCUAAAUUGCAGAGAGAGCCUCCAACUUGCCAGUUCCAUGCCUUGACCUCCCUAGUGGCUGAAAUUACAGGUGCACACCACCACACCAGCAGUCGGAAUAUCUUUUAAAGCUUUAUCUUCCAGGGGUUGGGAUUGUGGCUCAGAGAAAAAGCGCUCACCUAGCAUGCGUGAGGCCUUGAGUUCUAUCCUCAGCACUACAUAAAUAUUAAAUAAAAAAAUUGUACCCAC
rnacentral:lncRNA from 1 species